CCCACGUGAUUUGAUUGUUCACCAAGUUUGUGCCAAGACGCGCUCCGUAGCAGCUGCCGACUGGAAGUAAAGCCGGAAGUGUGACCUUGCUACAGCUGUGGGAAGUAGUUAGGUUCUGGAGAGGCUUGAGGAGAAUCAGUAAAGCACUAUGGGCGAUGUGUCUGAGCGUACCUUGCAGGUAGCCGUGCUAUUGUCUUUCGCAUCGGGGGUGCUGGUGGGCUGGCAAGCAAACCGCCUCCGACGAAAGUACCUAGACUGGAAAAAGAAAAGGCUGCAGAACAAACUCGUAGAGACACAGAAGAGAAUAGACCUUUCCUAAGGUUGGAGGACACUGAUAUUGGGACUUUUCUCUGUCCCGUUAACUUCGGGUUUUCUAUGGAGGAGAUUAUAAUGGCAAACACGUGACUGAUGUGAGCAUUAAAUGAACCUCCAUUGUUUCUACAUAUGACUUUUAUAAAGAGACAUUCUAUUUUAAAUAUUUUUUAUGAUAUCUGGUGGACAUACUCAAAACGCAGCUGCGUACAGCGACAGAAAAAAAAGAAUACUCCUGAAAUUGCUGUGCCAUAUGGGAUUCUAAUAAAAAUGUAAUUUAAAAAAA